GGAUUGAAGAGGUGACACUUGGAAUAGUGUGUGGGGUGGUCUUCGUGAUGGGUUUCAAUGAGGUGAAGCUGGGAGUACUUUGUGAGAUUGUCUCGGUUGUGGGGAUUGAAAAACUGAAGCUGGAAGUACUGUGUAAGGCGGUCUCGGUUGUGAAGAUUGAAGAGGUGAGGCUGGUAGUACUGUGUGAGGUGGUCUCAGUAGUGGCUAUUGAAGAGGUGAAGCUGGGAGAACUGUGUACGGUGGUCUCGGUGGUGGGUAUUGAAGGGGUGAAGCUGGGAGUACUGUGUGAGGUGGUCUUGGUGGUGGGUAUUGAAGAGGUGAAGCUGGGAGUAGUGUAAGAGGUGAUCUCUGUUGUGUGGAUUGAAGAGGUAAAGGUCGGAGUACUGCCUGAGGUGGUCUUAGUGGUGGGGAUUGAAGAAGUGAAGCUGGGAGUACUGUGUGACACGGUCCCGGUGGUGGGGAUUGAAAAGGUGAACCUGGGAGUACUAUGUGAGAUUGUCUCGGUGGUGAAGAUUGAAGAAGUGAAGCUGGGAGUACUGUGUGAGAUGGUCUUGGUGGUGGGGAUUGAAGAGGUGAAGCUGGGAGUACUGUGCGAGGUGGUCUCAGUGGUGGGGAUUGAAGAGGUGAAACUGGGAGUACUGUGUGAAGUGGUCUCAGUGCUGGUGAUUGAAGAGGUGAAACUGGGAGUGCUGUGUGAGAUGGUCUCGGUGGUGGGGAUUGAAGAAGUGACGCUGGAAGUACUGUGUGAGAUCGUCUCAGUGCUGGUGAUUGAAGAGGUGAAGCUGGGAAUACUGUGUGAGGUGGUCUCUGUGGUCUCUGUGGUCUCAGUGGUGGGGAUUGAAGAGGUGACACUGGGAGUACUGUGUGAGGUAGUCUCAGUGCUGGUGAUUGAAGAGGUGAAAUUGGGAGUACUGUGUGAGGUGGUCUCUGUGGUGAAGACUGAAGAAGUGAAGCUGGGAGUACUGUGUGAGGUGAUCUCAGUGCUGAUGACUGAAGAGGUGAAAUUGGGAGUACUGGGUGAAGUGGUCUUGGUGGUGGGGAUUGAAGAGGUGAAACUGGGACUACUGGGUGAUGUGGUCUCAGUGCUGGUGAUUGAAGAAGUAAAGCUAGAAGUACUGUGGGAUGUGAUCUCAGUGGUGGUGGUGAACAAGUUUGUUGUAGGAGUCGUGGCUGUUUCUGUGGUCCGGAGAAAGGAAGAGGUGGGUGGGAGAGUAAUGGUGGUGGACAAUAUACCUGUUGUAGUUGUGGAAAAGGUGAUUUUGGUCGUGGAGUCUGGGACAGUGCUAGUGGGAAAAGUAGGGUGGGUGGUCUCAGAUGUAGGUCUGUCUCUUAUACACAUCUAG
rnacentral:lncRNA from 1 species